CUGGCGGCAGCCUACACAUGCAAGUCGAGCGGAUGAAAGGAGCUUGCUCCUGGAUUCAGCGGCGGACGGGUGAGUAAUGCCUAGGAAUCUGCCUGGUAGUGGGGGACAACGUUUCGAAAGGAACGCUAAUACCGCGUACGUCCUACGGGAGAAAGCAGGGGACCUUCGGGCCUUGCGCUAUCAGAUGAGCCUAGGUCGGAUUAGCUAGUUGGUGAGGUAAUGGCUCACCAAGGCGACGAUCCGUAACUGGUCUGAGAGGAUGAUCAGUCACACUGGAACUGAGACACGGUCCAGACUCCUACGGGAGGCAGCAGUGGGGAAUAUUGGACAAUGGGCGAAAGCCUGAUCCAGCCAUGCCGCGUGUGUGAAGAAGGUCUUCGGAUUGUAAAGCACUUUAAGUUGGGAGGAAGGGUUGUAGAUUAAUACUCUGCAAUUUUGACGUUACCGACAGAAUAAGCACCGGCUAACUCUGUGCCAGCAGCCGCGGUAAU
rnacentral:rRNA from 1 species